rnacentral:rRNA from 1 species
CAGUCGUACCGGCGGAUAAUCAGCCUUUCGGGUGCGAUUCUGUGGGGCGUGAGGAGCUUAACCGCCUUUCAUGUUUUUGCGAUAUUCGUUGCACAUUUUGGUGUACUUGCUCGUGUGGUUGGUUAACAUCAAUUUCGGACGCCAUAAAAU